rnacentral:rRNA from 1 species
UACGUAGGGGGCAAGCGUUAUCCGGAUUUAUUGGGCGUAAAGAGCUCGUAGGUGGUUCGGUAAGUCGGAUGUGAAAUCUCCAGGCUCAACCUGGAGGGGUCAUUCGAUACUGCCGUGACUAGAGUUCGGUAGGGGAGUGUGGAAUUCCUGGUGGAGCGGUGAAAUGCGCAGAUAUCAGGAGGAACACCCGUAGCGAAGGCGGCACUCUGGGCCGAUACUGACACUGAGGAGCGAAAGCGUGGGGAGCGAACAGG